AUUGAACGCUAGCGGCAUGCUUAACACAUGCAAGUCGAACGAGUGGCGGACGGGUGAGUAAUGUAUGGGAACUGCCCAAUAGAGGGGGAUAAUACUGGAAACAGUGGCUAAUACCGCAUACUAUUGGAUGGCCCAUAUCGGAUUAGCUAGUUGGUGGGGUAAAGGCUCACCAAGGCAACGAUCCCUAGCUGGUCUGAGAGGAUGACCAGCCACACUGGGACUGAGACACGGCCCAGACUCCUACGGGAGGCAGCAGUGGGGAAUAUUGGACAAUGGGGGAAACCCUGAUGCAGCCAUGCCGCGUGUAUGAUGAAGGCCUUCGGGUUGUAAAGUACUUUCGGCAGGAGGCGGUUCUGCAGAAGAAGCACCGGCUAACUCCGUGCCAGCAGCCGCGGUAAUUC
rnacentral:rRNA from 1 species